rnacentral:rRNA from 1 species
GACUGCGAGUCGAGCGUUUCUAGCUAUGUUGAGACGCGGCAUACGGCUCAGUAACACGUGGCUAACCUACCCUCAGGACGGGGACAAACCCGGGAAACUGGGGCUAAUAUCCGAUAGGCGAGGAAUCCUGGAAUGGUUCUUCACCCAAAGGACAUUGGAAACAUGCUUUCUCUGUCGCCUGGGGAUGGGGCCGCGACCGAUCAGGUUGUUGGUGAGGUAAUGGCUCACCAAGCCUUUAACCGGUACGGGCCAUGAGAGUGGUAGCCCGGAGAUGGGUACUGAGACAAGGACCCAGGCCCUACGGGGCGCAGCAGUCGCGAAAACUCCGCAAUGCACGAAAGUGUGACGGGGCUACCCCGAGUGCCGUCCGCUGAGGAUGGCUUUUCCUUGGUGUAACUAGCCGGGGGAAUAAGGAGAGGGCAAGACUGGUGUCAGCCGCCGCGGUAAUACCAGCUCUCCGAGUGGUAGGGAUGAUUAUUGGGCUUAAAGCGUCCGUAGCCGGCUUAGCAAGUUUCCUGUUAAAUUCAGCGACCUAAUCGUUGAGCCGCGGGAAAUACUACUAGGCUAGGAGGCGGGAGAGGUCGACGGUACUUCUGGGGUAGGGGUGAAAUCCUAUAAUCCCGGGAGGACCACCAGUGGCGAAGGCUGUCGACUAGAACGCGCUCGACGGUGAGGGACGAAAGCUGGGGGAGCGAACCGGAUUAGAUACCCGGGUAGUCCCAGCUGUAAACGAUGCGGGCUAGGUGUUGGGGUGGCUACGUGCCACUUCAGUGCCGCAGGGAAGCCAUUAAGCCCGCCGCCUGGGGAGUACGGCCGCAAGGCUGAAACUUAA